rnacentral:rRNA from 1 species
AUGGCGACUCCAGCGAAGGAGGAGGCGGCGGCAGGGCAGAGAGACGAGCUCGCCGACUCGCUGUCCGAGCUCUUCACCAACGUCUCCCUCAUGGUCCGCGGCGAGCUCCAGGGAACCAACAACCAGCUCUCGCUGCUUGAAAAGAUGAACCAACGCGUGACAGAGGAGUACAGUAACCACGGAGAUGUUGCAUCCGGUCUGCGGGUCUUUGUAGAACAGCUGAACGAGAAAAACCAACGGUUUGACGAGUACACAACACAGAUCGACGCGAUAGACCAGCAGGUGAGUGAGUUUGAGGCAGUGGUGUCCAUGCUUGAUAAGCAUGUCUCCCUCUUGGAGAAGAAAGUGAAGUCCGCAUAUCACAUUGCUCCCACACAAUGA